rnacentral:rRNA from 1 species
UACAGAGGGUGCAAGCGUUAAUCGGAAUUACUGGGCGUAAAGGGCGCGUAGGUGGUUACGUAAGUGAGUUGUGAAAUCCCCGGGCUUAACCUGGGAAUGGCGAUUUAAACUGCGUAGCUGGAGUGCAAUAGAGGGUAGUGGAAUUUCCGGUGUAGCGGUGAAAUGCGUAGAUAUCGGAAGGAACACCAGUGGCGAAGGCGGCUACCUGGAUUGACACUGACACUGAGGCGCGAGAGCGUGGGUAGCAAACAGG